rnacentral:rRNA from 1 species
AUUGAACGCUGGCGGCAGGCUUAACACAUGCAAGUCGAGCGAGCGGCGGACGGGUGAGUAAUGUCUGGGAAACUGCCUGAUGGCGGGGGAUAACUACUGGCAACGGUAGCUAAUACCGCCUACCAUCAGUUGUUCCCAGAUGGGAUUAGCUAGUAGGUGGGGUAAUGGCUCACCUAGGCGACGUUCCCUAGCUGGUCUGAGGGGAUGACCAGACACACUGGAACGGAGACACGGUCAGGAGUCCUACGGGAGGCAGCAGGGGGGAAUGUUGCAAAAGAGGCGCAAGCCUGAUGCAGCGAUGCCACGGGUGUGAAGAGGGCCUUCGGGUUGUAAAGCACUUUCAUCGAGGAGGCGUGACUCGCAGAAGAAGCACCGGAUAACUCCGGGCCAGCAGCCGCGGUAAUAC